rnacentral:rRNA from 1 species
GCUCCGUGUCGUGAGAUGUUCGGUUAAGUCCGCUAACGAGCGCAACCCUCACUGUGUGUUAUAUGUGUCACACGGGACUGCCGGUUUUAAGCCGGAGGAAGGUGGGGAUGACGUCAAGUCAGCAUGGCCUUUAUAUCCUGGGCUACACACACGCUACAAUGGUCGGUACAAUAGGUUGCCAAGCCGCGAGGCGGAGCCAAUCCACAAAGCCGGCCUCAGUUCAGAUUGUAGGCUGCAACUCGCCUGCAUGAAGAUGGAGUUGCUAGUAACCGCAGGUCAGCAAUACUGCGGUGAAUACGUUCCCGGGUCUU